UGCAGCUGUAUAAAACUUUGGUUAGACCACAUUUGGAGUACUGUGUGCAGUUCUGGUCAACGCACUACUGGAAGGAUGUGGAGGCCUUGGGAAUGGGUACAGAAGAGGUUUACCAGGAUGCUGCCUGGAUUAGAGGAAUCCACAAGAGGUCAAAUCCAGUCUGUGAGCAGGGCUUUUCAAGAGAUGAAUGGGAAAUGAGCACUUGAAUCGAACUGACCCUGUGAGUGGUUCCGUUCAUGAAGUGGAAGAAUUAACAGACAACUGUGAAAGAUGUGAUGUGUUGACGCUGACAAGAAAUUGGAUGAAUUUUGGCAAACCACAAAGAACUUUUUGUUGGUGCUUUUCAAAUCAGCCAUUCCCAAUAAGAACUAUUUGUGCAGAAAUACUUUUGGAAAUCUUUCACUCAGAGCUGUUUACAACAGUAAGGAGUUUAUUUGUCUUUCUAUUUCCUAUCCAAGUAUAUCAGCUCCCUCUUUAAAAUGCUUUGGCAGUUUCGAUCAAAGGUCUCUGACCU